rnacentral:rRNA from 1 species
CAGUAGCCGCGGGAAUACGUAGGGUGCGAGCGUUAAUCGGAAUUACUGGGCGUAAAGCGUGCGCAGGCGGUGAUGUAAGACAGUUGUGAAAUCCCCGGGCUCAACCUGGGAACUGCAUCUGUGACUGCAUCGCUGGAGUGCGGCAGAGGGGGAUGGAGUUCCGCGUGUAGCAGUGAAAUGCGUAGAUAUGCGGAGGAACACCGAUGGCGAAGGCAACCCCCUGGGCCUGCACUGACGCUCAUGCACGAAAGCGUGGGGAGCAAACAGGAUUAGAUACCCCGGUAGUCCCUGUCUCUUAUAC